AGGCCCCCGUCCUCCAGGCCCUCGUCCUCCCGGCCCCCGUCCUCCAGCCCCCAUCCUCCAGGCCCCCGUCCUCCAGACCUCCGUCCUCCCAGCCCCUGUCCUCCAGACCCCUGUCCUCCAGGCCCCCGUCCUCCAGGCCCCUGUCUUCCAGGCUUUAGCCUCUGGGGCUCCUCUGGGUCCAGUUCAAGUGACUCCAGGCUCGCCGCUGACGUCGCCGCUGACACUCACCACUGGGCAGCCAUGGGGACUCAAUCCUUGAAAACUCUGGCAAGGAGCUCCCAGCCCCACUCUAGUUCUGCCACCCUCCUGUGACCACCCUCAGAACUCAAGCUCCACCUCUGGAAGAGGCCUGGAGGGCAAAGACCAAACUCCUGAGUAUG
ensembl:lncRNA